GUGACAUUGUUAAAUUCUCACAUAAACACCGAAGAAAAACUUGCUGAGCUGAGCCAUGUGACGGAAUUAUGGGAAAAGAACAAUUCAUCGUCUACAGGUCAAGAGAGCUUGCAAAGAGCUUCGGAGGUACUUCAAAUAAAUUGUAUUAUUUAUACAUUGUAUUAACCUCUUCCCCAGACACUGUGAAGACAAGGGAUAAAUUAGUUCUAUAUUAACAAUAAUGAAAAUAAAAAUUAUUUAUUGUAUCAGCAUUGCUGCAUCUAGUAACACACUUGGAAGAUGCUUAUGUAGGUGUUUUAUCGAAUUACAUUUGUUAUAUACUUAAUUAAGAGUGUUUUACUGGACCAUUUGUGCAGUUAACGAAUUGGUCAUCAAGGUAUUACCAUGUACACACUUUGGUUCCAUGAAAAAAAAAGUCAUAGAACUAAUGUGUUAAAGGAAUUCUUGUCUUCAAAAUCUGAGAGCAAAUAAUGCAAUGAUUCUUAUUCAUAAAAAAACACAGUGAAAUUAUCUUAGCAUCAUCCAGAAUUUGCUCUGGGUACGUAAUUCCCUGAAUUUCCGUAUCCAUAGCAACCUAGGUAACAAGUAAUGGAACAUUAACUUACUUUUCAUGCAAGAGGCCAUGUAAAAGCUACACACGUGUAAACUGUAAUUAUGUCAAGCACACUGUAUGUUUCCGUAGGCUUAUUUUAAAUGGCUAAAGGUGCUAUUUUGCCUUUAUUUCACGUGGCUGCGACAAAAAACUAGAAAUAUGGUAUAAUUAGACUGAAAUAGGUUGAGAUUGUAAAAUCCUUCUUACCACUAAAUCUGUAAUUUUUCUUCACAUUUAAAACGCAUAGCUCUCCACAAUUAGAGGUAUGAAUGUGGGACUGUGGGAGGGUAGACCACUAGGUGUCUUUUCAGUGAUGCCAUGCAUGUCAUUGGUGAUGUGGUGAAGAGUGUGCUCACUCGAAGACGGAGUGAGUUAGUCUGGAAUAUGUGUGCUAUAAUGACUUGCAGUUGCACUGGUCAGCUCCACUCAUGGGGUAGGCAACCCUCGGCACUCCAGAUGCUUUGGACUACAUUUCCCUUGAUGCUUUGCCAGCAUUAUAGAUGUAAAAGCAUUAUGUCUAUAUAUGCAGUAAUCUCUCUCUAAUGUUGACUCAAUGCCCUGAGUCUAAUUUCCACAGUGCCAAUGCACAUGUGAUGUCCUUGACAUAGGUUUAUUGAAGAAGUCACUGGUUGUCUCAGACGUAGAAUGACAGAGAACUAACCUGGCGCAGUGGGACAGCAGCCCAAAUUUGGGACUGUCUCACUGAACCCAGGACUUCUGGGAGGUAUGAAAAUAUAUUUUUAUAUCAUUAGAUUUCUAGAUGAAAGCUUUAACGAAACAAACUGGAAAUCUAUUCACUGUGGAAGGUUGAGAACUAAUUUGCAAAAUUGUAUGCCAACACCUUUCCAGUUGCUUUUGCAUUAAAGGUACACUCCAGGCACUAUAACUAUUCCAUCUCAUUGAAGUGGUUAUUGUGCUUCGAGUCGUCUGCUACCAUCCAUCCCCUCUGUGUUAAAACAUAUUAGAAUAGUUUAACACUGAAGUAUCAGCCCGAGCAGUGAUGGCCACCAAUAAAUAACUGAGAGCAUCAGCAUCAGAGCUCUCCUCGUAUGACAGUAUUGGUGUGGCAUACCUCCUGUGGGUUGCUGGGGACCCUCAUCCUGUGUCAAAAAUAUCCAAAAAAUACUGAACGAAAAGAUAUGCCAGCACACCUCAGAUACUAUACCAUUUUAAUGUGCUGGUAGCUUUAGUGCCAAGAGUGUCCCUUUCAAAGGUCCCUUCCAAGUAUCAUUACAAUACAGUGCAUCCUGGCACUCAUUCAUUGGCUGAGAGUGUCAGCUGAGGGCUCUCAGACAAUGAAAGACCUUGUAUGCAUGGAACAUGCACAUAAUUCACAUUAACCAGCCCGGGACUCUUUUUACCAAAUAGCUAAUGACGUCUUAAUGAUGUGCAGAGCUUCAGUAUAAAACGGUGCACAAACACACAGCAAGCACCAUGACCACCUCAGAUUACUGCAGAGAUCAUGGUGUUUUGCAGGAACUCUUAAUGGUUUGGAUGGAAAACAUUUAGCUGGUCGCUGUCCAAGGUGCUAUUACAUCUCUCUUCAUAAUGGAAAUGUUGUAAGAGUUGUUACUAGGGUUACGGGGAUAGAUAUGUAUGUAGUAUAAGGUGCUUAUAAUUUGUAUACUUUUAUGUUUUGUGUGUUUGUUUUAACUAGCUGCUCAAAACACCUAUGAGUUAUUCUUUUAGUAGCUCAAAAGGUUAAAAUGCAUUUUAAAGGGAUUAAUGUACAAAGUAUUACACACUCUGCAUAUUUAUUGUUUGGUAUAAUUACUUAAGAAGUUACACCUUAUUAAACUGGCACUUAAAAUACAUAUUUACACAAAUUUGAAAAGGAUCUUUAAGGAAUAUAUUCCAAUACUAAGCGCUCCACCAUAUAAUUCACACAUUCUAUGGAAAAUUAAAGUUAGAUGACAAUUAGGGCCAUGGUUAGAAUAUGGGGUGUCUGUGUUGACAAUGCUACUGUCUGGUUGUUGUACCCCACAUUGUAACAAUGUGCACAAUUAAGGUUACAGUGUGCUCUAUUGGCUGUUGUGCCAUUAUAAAAUUAUUACAAUUAAUCAAUGCUAUCUUAUAAUCCAUGUUGUCAUUGGAAUCAUUUUAGUCUAUGUUCUCUAGGAUUACAACGCUGACUGGAUCCAUUCUCAAGAAAAUGUUUGAGCAUUGAAACACCUCCAUUUGAGUCUUUCUAUGAAAACUGUGUACAUUGUAGCUGUGUGUUCUCUUGGCUGUUCUCAAUAAACAUUCAGUUUACCUACCCAUACUUUUUAAAAAGAACAUUUCCUCUUUAAUAAAGUGUGUCUCAGUAGAACAAAAGUUCAUGUUCUAGAGCAGUGGUUCCCAAACCAGUCCGCAUGGCCCACCAACAGUCCAGGAUUUAUGUAUUUCCCUGUUUUAUUCCAAUGGAGAUACUAACAAAACCUGGACUGUUGGGGGGUCUUGAGGACUGGUUUGGGAAACGCUGUUCUAGAGGAAAUAGGUUCUAGGGGAAAAUUCAAUUCCAAUUAAUAUUUUAAGGAGAAUUUGGGGUAGGGUUGACAAUGCUUUGUCAUAAUAGUGACUGAGAAUAUGUUUGGUGCAAAACUUUGGCCUUUGAUAAAGCCAGCUUUUACGACGGGAUGUCGGAGUUUAACGAUCUGUACAGUAUAUUUGUAGCAAAGUAUAGCAGCUGUUGCAUGAGUGCAGUAGAUGUGGUACAAUCGGUGGGCAUUUGAAAUAAAUGAAUUAUUAUAGAAAGAGAGGUGAAAUUCCAGCUAGUUUUGGAAAAAAAAAGACAAGAUUUAAAAAUUCAUGUGUGGACUUAUGUCUAGAGGACAAACUUCAUUCAGGUAAUUUAAAUGUAGGCAUUACCCUUACAGUUAAGGAAUGCUGGCUGAUGCUGAUUAUUUUUAAAGAAAUGUGAAAAAAUUGUGUGUUUUAGAGGAUAACGUUUCUUCAAAAAAGUUCUAAUAUUCAUUCUUUUUUUAAAAAUGUUUUUGUGAGGUUAUUUAAAUAAGUUUACACAUCUAUAUUGGAACCAGGUGCUUUGUCAACCAUUCAAUUAUCGUUAUAAAAUAAUAAAUUUGGCCCUUUUCUGCCUUUGAACAUAUUUAGGGAAGAGAGGAAAAACACUUAUUUCUUCUCCUCCUCAUUUGUAUUUUGUGUCCUGGAUACACCUGUCCUGAACUGGAUUGCUUGCUAAAUAUUUAGUAUACAAUGCAUUUUAAAAGAAAAUGGCUAAUCAUAUGAAAAAAAAAAGUUAAUGCUGUUGAAGCACUUACCCGAUCGAUGUGCUGCUCCGGUUUUCCUGUGUGUGUUGCGAUGGUCGAUCGGGAUGUGGCAUCUUCAGAUUCUCUUCUGCCUUCCUACUCGGCACUUGAAUUUGUACUUCCCGACUGCACCGAAUGCGCCAAUUGGCAGGCGAAUGCUUUCAGGCUUGCUUGCAGUGCCCCUUUAUUUAUAUUGAUAUAUAUAUAUAUAUACAUGUUAUUUCCUGUUUUGGCAGUGCCACAUCAUUACUGCGACCCCAUUCAGGCACUUUUUUGGGUCUCAACAGUGACAUGGACCAAUUAGUGUCCACAUCGAUAUUUAAAUAGCGUUUUAGCACCAUAGUCAUUGCCCUGUCAUGGGUUCCACUUGGUUUCUUAUAUAACGCGUUAUAUUUACCCUGAUAUUCUGGUUAUUCGAUUUUGGCUUGUUUACUGACUCUUCUAACAGCUGUAGUCCUGACCUGGCUAGUUAUAUCAUAUUUUCAUAUUUCUGGUAUCAUGAUCUUCGCUAGUUUUACGUUUACACUCUCUAUUUUUUUAAUGUUAAAACCGGCAUUUCUAAGGUCCGGUAAUAUGCAUUUUCUGUCUUCAUUUUCCUGACCUAUGCUUGUAAAUUGGGUGGUGUAGCCAUGAUAAAAGGCGCGUUAUAUGUGAUUUUUAAUGUUUUAUCCAAUUACAUAAUUUCUAGAGAAGUUACAAAUCUGUUUUAAGGGACACUUAAAAAUAAUAGAUUAAUGGGAUGUGUUUGCUAAAUUCUAACCUGUUAAUACAAUUCUGGUGAAAGGUUGUUGACACUCUUUAUUCAGAAGAAUUAUCAAUGAUUCAAUGUAUAAGUUUAAAAAGAAAACAAAGAUCCAGUGUUGGAGAACACAAAGUACAAAAUAGAGAAAUGUAAAAUGAAAGGUACAUGUCAGUAAAUACCCAUAAUAACAUGAUAAUAUAAAUGUAGAACAAAUAUGCUUCCCACUUUCAAUGUGUGGGGGUAAAGUAACGUCAUUAGACAUUCUUUCUUCACCCAUCCCCUGGUACUAGAAAUUGUGCAUAAAAAGAUGAAUGCGCCAAAGUAUGUCUUAUUAUUUGGACCAUAAGUGUAACAAAAGUACUUAAAGGGACACUCCACUGCCGAAAAAUCACUGUUUAAUAGAAAUACCCCAAAUGAAAACUUGCACACUUGUAAUGAUGCAUUAUUUUCAUUAGGGUACAUCUAAAAACAACUUGCAAAGGUUGCAGAUCUCUUGUCUACAGCCUUUGCAAGCCCUCCCCUUCUAAGUCCGCCCAGACUUUUUGUGGCUGUCCAAUCAUAGACUUCCCAAUGCAGCGCAAUAAGAAGUCGUUGCAAGACAGGUGCUCUGGGGAACUGCUGCCUCUUGAGUUUAGUUCCACUGAGCCAAACAAACCAGAAGGUAACAUGACCGGUUGUCUGAUUAAAAGAAAGUGUGGUGUAACCAGCAUAAUUCACAAAAAUUUAAAUUUCUAUUGAAAUCUACAAUUUUUGGAAAAUGAAAAGAGGACACACUCUUCACAAAUAAAGCUUUUCUACUGUUUUGGAUCAAAGAAAACUUUGAUUAUUUGUCUAUCUACACCUUCCAAAUUGAUUAAUUAAUGCGUGCACGCUUUCCCUAGAAGUAAUUCACACCGGAGACAAAGUUUCUGAUCAGUGAAAAACCCAGGAAUGCUUUAUUCCCCGGAGUGGGGGCUCCUUCUUAAAGCAAAAAUACGUCACAGUUUAAACAUACAGUAUACAUUCACCAAUUGGUUAACAGAGAAAGGGGCCUCUUGUUUAAACCCCCCUACAGAAUGUAGUGUCAUCAUUACACACUUUUAGAUACACGGAGAAAGGGGGAGUGAGUGGUAUCUAUCAGUUCUAAACCAAUGAUCCUCCAUUUAGCUAUAUAUGGCAUAUAGCUGUUAACUGGCACAAAGGGGAGGCUAGCAGGAUGUGAGGAAUUUACAUAGUAAACAGCAGCUGACCACAUUGUAAGGGGGGGGAAGGGAACAUUUACUCUAGAAGCCAGUUUUAACAUAGUGAACAGAGAAUAAAUAGACAUUAGUAAAUAGCCAUUUUAUUUUAAUUCAUCUGUCCAUAACAGUCCCCCUUAAAAUGGCAAUUUUUACUAAAACUACUAUCUCUCAUUCUAAUACUGUCCCUAUAGAAAAAUAACAAAAGGCUAUCUUGCACAUCUGUCUGAACAGGCCUCGAACACUUCACUGCGCGGGUACCCCAUAGCAGCUUGUCCACUACUUCUCCCGCGGCAGACUUCUGCCCGUAGAGACAGACGCUAUCCCUAAAUGUCCUUAAGAGGAAGUAGCUGUUGAUUUAGUGCGGUGGGACUGUAAGGGUGUAUGUGGUGUAUCACGGUCGAUAUCGUCAAUCUCUUGGUGAAGGAAGGUCGGGGUGGUCUGGUCGAUUGCCUGAUCAACUGUCUUUUGUAGGCAUUUCUUAAGACAGGGUAACACACAACAAACAAGAAGAGCGAGGAUGAUCGUUAUUAAAAUGGCAACACCUAUUUGGGCCAGAGCACCUUGCCAUUCAGACAUCCAUCCAAACCAUCUUUCCCAUGGAUCUGUGGCCCCAGAAUUUCGUUUCAGUUCAUUGGACAAACUCUUUAACUUUUCUAUUGCCAACGUUACCUUACCAUUAGGGCCUGUAUUAUCUGGAAUAUAGGUACAGCAUGUCAUGGUGUCUGGGAGUAUUUUACAUACUCUCCCUUUUUCUGCUAAAAUCAUUUCCAAGCUUAUUCUAUUCUGGAAGGUCAUCUGAGAGAUAGUUUGUAACCGCCCUAUCCCACCAUAUAUCCCAUAACAAGUAUCGUUCCCGGGCUAUAUAGUAAUGCCUUCGUCUGGGUUAAUAUUUUUAGUAAUGAUUGGGUAUUAAGUUUCCAUGACUCGCAUGCUGACCGCUUAGGUUUAAAUACAGUGUAGAGACUUAAAACGCAUACUUCAUAUCCGGAGGAAGGUUCAGGGAUACUGUACCUGGGUGAGGCCUCGCUCCUCUGCAGACAUAGCAGUUAGACUUGUUAUGUUUAGUAGCAUUGUAUUUCAUCCAUUCAAGUCACAAGUUAGUGUCAGAGAAACCUGUCUCUACAGCCCUCUUAUCCUCAAAUAUGGGAUGACUACCAUGUCUUUUAAAGUCCUAAUGUGUGGUUUGAGGGGAUUAACAGUCAUGUGCGUGGCACCUACCCAUUCAGCUGAGUCAUACAUGUCCUGUAAGAAAAAGGUCUCCUGUUUAUUGUAUAAACCUCUUCCCUUCCAAUUCAGAUUUUAUUAGCCGUAAUGCUUGGGAGAAUAGAUUCAAACUUAGUUUCUUACCUUAAAAUUAUUUGGUACCCCCCUUGACACCCCUAUGGCAUUAAUAUACAUAUAUAUAUAUAUAUAUAUAUGUGUGGGUAAAACCACCCUUUAUAGGGGUACUCCUUUUUGUCCUGAAGCAUGAAUGAGGUGUGUCAAGAGUACCUUGGGGAUUGUCAUGUGUUAUGUGUAUGGACAUAAUAACCUAGGCUAGGGCACAUUUACUUAUUCUUAGAAAUCUUGUCUCAUGCUACCCUAGUACUGGCAGAUUCAGAUUAUUUAAACAUUCAAUAUUAAUAUCACCACAAACUCAAGAUAAGCAGAUGAUCUUGAAGAAGCUUUGACUGUGCGUAUGGCACCUCAGACGUGAGGGCUGCAGGGUAAGGAGUAUGUUUGUUUCUCUUUAGUUUCACGAGGUCCCCUUUUGGGGUAUUCAGCUUUCCAUCGAUGGCAGGUGGUCAGGCAUUAUUAUGGCCAUCAAAACACCCACUUGUUGAUAUUUAUUUAUUUAUUUUCAACAAGUAUCUUUGUUCUCUAAGAAUGGAGUUUCAAAAAGGGUUGUCAAGAUCAACAAAUGUUACUUCACAUGAUGCAGAGGCAGGCUUGAUUCUGGAAUGAUGAACCCACGGGGUGAUCUCUGUAACUUUCACGGUGCACUACUCAGCAUGUGGUCUUGGUUAUCACUUUGGUGGCUGGAUAGGCCUCUGGCCAUCCUGAAAACAUGUCUGCUAUAAUUAGUGCAUAUUUGAAUCAGCCAUUCUUUGGCAUUCUGGCGACUUGACUCCUCUGGAAGAGAUAAUGAGGUUUGGCUAGAUGCUUGGGGCUUUCAUCCAUUCUUCUUGAGUUGCCCUUGGCACAAAUGGCACAAGAUUUACAGUAACUGUUGGUCAGAGAGGCAAUUCCUGGUACUUCAGAGUAUUUAUUGAUCAAAAGAGUUCAUGAGGGUUCUGGACAGAUGCUCCGUAGGCCCACUGGACCACUGCUGAGUAUAUGUUCUUGGGCAAGUAUAACUUGAGAUUGUUGAAGUACAGCCUGUCUUUAAGAGUUGCCCCUUUCUGUUUCCAGCUUGUGGUUUGUUUGUUUUUUCUUUCUUUCCAGGGUCAGUAGCUUGCUUGUUAUUCCUCCGGGAGCUUGAUGUCUGUGGGUAGGAUCUUACAUGGUGAAUAUGGGAGUUUCUUCAGCAGACACUUUUCUGUCCACUUCCUUUAGUGCACUUACAACUUUUUGAACAACUUAGUCAGCCAGAGAGCUGCCACAUGCUUCCUCUGAGUUCAGUCUUCCUUCAGAGAUCUUGCAUGGUGUGAUGGGAGUCUAUAGCUCAGCUUCUUGUGCAGACAUUGUUGAGGUGAGAUACUUGGUCCACUGUAGUGACAGCAAAUCCGGAACAGAACAUAAGAAAAAGGCUAAAAAAAAAAAUAAUAGUCAGUGUCUUAUCAUUUCCCCCCUUGGGAAGUGGCAGAAGAGUGGCCAGGUAAAUAGAGUAUCAUCCCUGCAGGGUGACAUUAUCCUGCACAGAAUUCGUCCAUCACAAGGAGAGGUGGGAUAUUGCAUGGAAAGUCUCAGGUAACCAGGGCAACAUUCGACACCAGAGCCUUAACCUGUUAGGGAAUAGUAAGAGCUUGGACAGGCUUUGGGGCCUGUAUAAUUCAGGUAAAGGUAUUGGGGGAACUAGCUAGGACCCUUGCCUCUUGGUCAGGUUUCACUGUGUGGAACAAAAUGAAUAAUAAGGUGAUAGGGGCCUGCAAGUGGGGGAAGGACAUCUGCACCUAGCAGAUUAAUUGGACAGGUGAAGGUAACCACAAAGCAAGGCUUAGUUAACAGGCUACUCCAAGGAGAGCCAUCUACACUUAUGCAGGAGACAACAAUGUUAGACAGGAAUGAGGAGUCAGGCAGGCCUUGCUUGGUACAAAUAGAUGUCAUGUGGCCUGCUAUACAAGGCUGCAUAUAGUUAUUGGGCAUGGGCCUUACUAUGUACUAAAACUUAAGUUAAAAGAAAAUUUGGGACAACCUGAAGUGAUGCUUCUCCACAGAUGCUAACUCAUCGUUGAUGACAUUGUUAAUACAGGUAGCCUGAUCAGCCAAUUUAUCUUAGGCUUAAACAAGUCACACCAUGUAGUGGAAUGGGUCAUUAGGAUUCGGGAAAUUCUACAGUAAAAGGGCAUAGUAAGGAUGUACGCGAUGUUACUUUAGGAGUAGGCGUGGCUGUGGAUAGGGGGAAAUCAGCCUUAUCCAUUCCCAUAUAUUAUUCCUUUUGUCUUCAGUAUAUCCAAAACAUGUGUAUGUCCAGGCGUUGCAAUAUACAGUAAUCCAUUAUCAGUCAUGAUAGUAAAAUCUCAUUCUCAUUAAUUAAAUCAAAGAUUUUAAAUCAACCUCAGAAGUAACAACAUUGUUUUUACCUUCUGUAAAAUGAUUGGAGUUACUGUAUAAUUGCAUACACCCAAUAUAACAUACAUUGCAUGUUCCUCACUGCUACAUUAGUGUAUUUCAUUCUGCCAUAUUUGCAAACUUGAUGUACAUUUUUAUUUUAAUUAAUUAACCUAAUACUUUCUUAAAAUACAUAUAAAACAAUGAAAAAAAACAGUUCAGACUAACAUUUCAUUAAAACAAACUAACAUAGAACUCUAUUCUUGGCUGUUCUUAAUUCUGGAAUCAGCCUGUGUACCUCUGUUGGCAGACAUAUCCAUGCUCAUUCCCUAAACUGAUCAUAUCUCUUGAAGUUAUCUGAUUCUUAUAACUUUCUGUGUUACGCUGCAUUGUUUGUCUGUCUCCUAAUUUCGAUUUAGCUAAAAUUGCUUUUAUUUGUCUGAUUAUAAGUUUACAAGGAAAGGCUUUAAUUGAUUUAUCUCCACAUGUAUUUUCUCUGUCAAAAUUUUCAAUCAACAAAUUUAAUUUCUCAUUUGCUUUUGAUUUGAUAUCUCGGAUAAAAUAUCUGCAAGAUCUUGAAUAAUGUUGUUUAUUGCACCAAAAACAAAUAACUUUAGGAGUUAUAUUCUGCCCUAUAUUAUCAACUGCCCUAUAUUUAGUUGAAUAAAUUGGGAGGGGCUCAGCUGUCUGUAUCACUCUACACUCUGUCCUAGAAGAAGAAGAAGAAGAAGGGGGACGGGGGCUGUAACAUCUGCACUUCUUUCUCUGCCUAAAGCCACAAGUCGUUUUAACCCCUUCAUUCUUGGUUUCCCUCCUUAAGUUAUCCAAGAACAAAGCUACUUCUGUCAAAGUGCUUUUUUCUCUAGCUACCACAAUUGCAGUUGGAUCUAGAUCUUGAAAUUUUUUCACAAAUUCAUUAAUUAACUGAUCUUCAGAAAAAUCAGCAACAAGUCUAUAUGCAUUUUCAAAUUUUACAAGAAAACUAAAUAUAUCCUCCCCUUUGUGUGGUUUUAGUUUUUCCAACAUUUCAGUGUCUGCAAAAUCAUUCCCUGUUGUUAAUUUUAUUAAUUGUGUUAAUCUGUCUUGCUUAUUUCCAUAUAUUAUUUUAUCAUUGUCCUGAAAUUUUACAAGCGUGGUCAGUCUACAUGCCAUUUGAGUCGGCAGCCAUAUUUUAAACAAUCUAUUCCUUUGUUCGUCAUUUAGGCUGUAUUUGUCCACAUUUGACUCAAACAUUCCAGCAUUAGUAAAUGCAUCCACUGACGUGUCAUAAACUGGAAUACAUUUCACAAUUUUCAUUAAUUGUUCAUGUAUUUUCAAAUUAAGUUUUGCAGCUCUGUCUUGAAAUUUAUAUUUCUGCAAAUCACUCUGUGAGGAUACAUUUUCAGUAUCUAUUGGUUCUGGGAUUAGAUUCUGUGUCUGUAUUUUUCUUGUAUUAACACACACUUGCUUAACUUCAUUUCUAAGCUGGCAAAUAAGAUCAUUUCUUAGUUCAACUCUAUCCUCUAAUUCACAAACUGUUUCUGACAAUGUGCUCUCUGUUACAUUGUUACACUGUUCAUUUAAAUCUGAUUUGUCUUCUGUUAACCCAUUCAAAUCUACUUCUUUUUCUGAUGAUUCUAAAUUUUCUUGAUCUGCAUUUCGUUUACAAAUCAAUGCAUUGUAAGUACAGACUAGUUUCAUAACAUUUCUGAUCUUUUGUUUUUUUUUCUUAUUAACAAACAAUUUCUUGUCAAUUUCACUAUUGGCAAUUUCACAUUGUGUGUAUAAAGAUUGCCACAAAACAGCAUCUGAAUAGCUGCUAUUAAAUGCAAACUGCAAUUUACUUUUCUCUGCGAUAUUCAUUUAUAAAUUCCACAAUUCAUUUGUUCCAACAAAAUCUAACUUUCCUUAUUCCAACAUGCCAAUAACCUCUUGCUUAACAACAUAUACAAGAUUACACAAAGUUCCUAACUAGGUUAUUCGUCCAGCAAAUAUACCUUGUUUCCCUCACAUUCCUCACUGAGUUUACAAGCAUUUCACCCAUUCACCCCACCCCCCUGUAGCCAAUACUCAUAGCAGUCAGAGCAAGAGAAAGCAACAAAGAAGGAGGGGGGAGGAGGGAGGAAGACUUGCAAGCACAAAGUUUUUUAACCAUGUGAUUGCCUAAGCGCAGCUCUCCUUAGGACAAAAGAUAGAAUAGGAGAGUAACGAUACAGAUUGUAUAGAUUACAAUUAACAUAUAUGGUACCCAACAAGACAUACACAGACAAAAGCACAAAAUACAGAUGUAAUUAAAUCACAAAGUUCUUAAAAUAAAUGCCGGCUUAUAAUAAAUCAAAUCACACACACAGAAACACUCAAGCACAUAAACCGCUCCUAUUUAAACUCUUGACCGAGUCUUAAUAAAACAAAGGAACCGCCAGGUUUUUUACCAAACGAGGCCAAAACAUCACUCACUAGCUUCUUUACCAAAGCUUAGCUAAAAUAAUUUUAUUUUUUUAUUUUUUUAUUUAUUUAUUUUUUAAAUUAUUUUAUUUAUUUAUUUUUAAACUCUUGACCGAGUCUCGCAAUAACUUCUUUACCGAAGCUUAGCUAAAAUAAAUAUAGAGCCAGGGGUUUUCCACCAAACCCGAACUUGGCUAAACCUGCAAGUGCUUAACCACACUUGGCAGCAUUAUAUAACAGUAUUAAGCAAGUAGUAAAACAGAUUCUCAAACAGACACUUUCACACAUAAAACUCUCACUCAGGACUCAGGCUGUAGAUAGACAAGUGACAGGUUCUAUAUAAAAGGGGACAUUCGGGCAUAUAUAUAUUACCUGUCUGAAGACGUUAAACACCGGAAGCCGAAUGUGAAGGCACGGAGAACAAGAGAAAUCCAAAGAAAGGAAAAUAUAGGUAAGUAACUCAUUUACCAUAUGCAGAGGUGAUCAGGCUCCGUUUCCAAUCUCUGGGAAUCCUUUGCUCUCCUGUCUUGGGAUCUGACGGCUGCCUUAGUAACGUAUCCCUUAAAUGCCCGCAUUCUCCACCAAAUUGUUUUGGAUCAAAGAAAACUUUGAUUAUUUGUCUAUCUACACCUUCCAAAUUGAUUAAUUAAUGCGUGCACGCUUUCCCUAGAAGUAAUUCACACCGGAGACAAAGUUUCUGAUCAGUGAAAAACCCAGGAAUGCUUUAUUGCCCGGAGUGGGGGCUCCUUCUUAAAGCAAAAAUACGUCACAGUUUAAACAUACAGUAUACAUUCACCAAUUGGUUAACAGAGAAAGGGGGCCUCUUGUUUAAACCCCCCUACAGAAUGUAGUGUCAUCAUUACACACUUUUGGAUACACGAUGGGAGGGGGAGUGAGUGGUAUCUAUCAGUUCUAAACCAAUGAUCCUCCAUUUAGCUAUAUAUGGCAUAUAGCUGUUAACUGGCACAAAGGGGAGGCUAGCAGGAUGUGAGGAAUUUACAUAGUAAACAGCAGCUGACCACAUUGUAGGGGGGGGGGAAGGGAACAUUUACUCUAGAAGCCAGUUUUAACAUAGUGAACAGAGAAUAAAUAGACAUUAGUAAAUAGCCAUUUUAUUUUAAUUCAUCUGUCCAUAACACUACAAGCUUAAGUGCUUUAGGGGUCUGGAGUGUCUUUUUAAGAAAGUACAGUGCGAAAGGAUGCCAGUCUCAUUGAAUCUCAGUUUGUCCAAACUUAUCAAAGCCACCAGAUGGAUGCCAGUUGUGUUACAGAUCAUUCCUUCCCACAAGCCGUUAGUAAGGAGCUAACUUAGAGAUGUUACCCUAACUCAUUUAUUUCAGCUGACAUUCAACAAAUUUGUUGCUAAGUCAAUUUAACUAAGCCUUUCGUGAAUUUACGCCCACUUUUUUUCUUUCGGUGAAUCAUGACAUCUUAGAAGAGAUAAGACAUUUGUCUGAAUGUUUUUUCUUUUUUAGGUUUCCACAUUCUUUUAUUUUUUUAAUGUAAUUUUUUUAUUACGUUUUCAAGACAGAAUUUAAACUUUUUAAAAUUCACAAUAGUAAAUUAAAUUUUCCAACAUAUGAGCGUCAUAAUUCUUUUACAAAUAACAUAUAACACGACAUAAAUACAUCUAACAAUAACAACAUAUAUCACUGAGAUGACAUUCUGCCAGAGGGGUGAAAAUUAAUCAUUCAGUUCCAACCGAUAAUUUAUUUCACUAUAAUAAUUUAGAUAACCAAAGAGCCACUUAUCUCUUAUGUUUAGAUAGUUGUCACUUUCCAUAUUUAUCUGAUAACUAAGUUGAGUUUUUACUUGUGCCCAGUGUGGAGUAUUAAUCGAUUUCCGAUUCUUUGCUAUCAAUUGCUUGGCUGUAAUUCAGGUAUCUAUCAAGAGUAAUUAGGCAUGUGGGUAUGUAAUAAUUAAUUCUCUGGUAUUGUGGGAACUUCUUAACCUACAAGAGAUUCCAACUUUUCACUCAACAUUUGCCAAAAUAGAUAAAUGGGGCCACAGGACCAACAGAUGUGCAUGAAAUCUGCUGAUGGUGCAUGGCAUCUCCAGCUAAAAUCUGAAGAGUUAGUAUACAUCUGUUUUAUUCUCGAGCGGACCUUAAAGUGGAGUUCAACCAAACUGAGACAAUGUAUCGAUUUGUUAACCAAAUUUAAAGAUUUCACCCAUUCUGACAGUUUAAUCGGCCUGCUUAUAUCUAUUAUCGGUUGUAGAGUUCCCUGGGGAUUGUCUCUAAUUAUUUUUAUAUUUAAAUAGAAUUUAAUUCUCAAAUAUGUAAAUAACUCUGUACCUGGCAACUAAUUUAUAUUCUGUAGGUUUGUAAAGGAUUUUAAUUGUUGGUGGUCUUUAAUCUGAUAUAUACCUGCAUUCACCCUAUUUUCCAUUUUAAUAUCCUUUAUAUCAAGGGUCCUCAAACUACGGCCCGCAGGCCGGGUCCAGCCCGUCAGGGUCCUGAACCCAGCCCAAGCAUUUAGGGCCACCUGAUGGGCCCUAUAUCUUCAGGGGCCCGGUCAGCGCUGCAGUCGUGCAAUAUCACAACCAUUAAAAAAUUUCAGCCGCAAAGUAGUGCUGGGUCACUUCCUCCCAGCUCUCUCUGUGUGGGAGGGAAGAAAGACAGGCGAGGACGGGCGAGCCACGCCGACUCCCAUCAGCCACAGCCACCCUCCUGCAAAAAAAUAAGAACAUUUGGCUGUGUUUGUGUGUAUGUCAUUAUGUGUAUGUAUGUAUUUCAGUAUGUAUGUCUGUGUGUAUGUAUGUAUCUGUAUGUAUGUCUGUUUGUGUGUAUGUAUUUCAGUAUGUAUGUAUGUCAGUAUGUGUCUGUGUGUCUGUCUGUGUAUGUAUGUAUUUGUCUGUCUGUGUGUAUGUAUCUAUCUAUCUGUGUGUAUGUAUUCAGUAUGUAUGUCAGUAUGUGUCUGUGUGUCUGUCUGUGUAUGUAUGUAUGUAUGUAUGUAUGUGUUUGUAUGUGUGUCUAUGUAUGUAUAUGUCUGUCAAUGUAUGUCAGUAUGUAUAUAUGUCUGUCAGUGUCUAUGUAUGUCAGUAUGUAUGUGUGUCAGUAUGUAUGACCUUAUGCCUGUGUGUGUGUCUGUAUGUAUGUUUGUGUGUGACUGUCUGUAUAUGUCUAUGUGUCUGUUUCAGUAUGUAUAGGAAUUAGUUCAAAUUUGUUUCAAACUAUAGUGUGGCCCCCAGCAGUGUCUGAGGGACAGUAAACUGGCCCCCUGUUUAAAAAGUUUGAGGACCCCUGCUUUAAAUUAUCUUCUAUAAGUAAGAAGUGGAGCGAGGGAAUUAUUUUGUUUUUGAACUUUUAUUUUUUUUUGGACGAAUUAUUCACAUUCUUUUAGUGGGAUUCCAGUUGCAACAUUCAAAAUUAUUUACUUUUUUGAUCAUUGUAUAUUAUAUUUUUCGAUCAUUGUAUAUUAUAUAUUGUAUAUUAUAUUGGUAAAGGACCACUCCACACACAUAAAGAACUUCAGCUUGCUUGUCUAAAAGCCACUUUAGAAAUGUGCUGAUUUCUAUGAGAAAUUGUCACUUUUAUAAAUAAUUAAACAUCCUUACAUAAGUCUACUUGAGUACGCCUACCUCCACCAUGCAUAGCUCCUUCUCAGACCUCAGAUCAGAGUGCUUUGUAGUGUGUGGCAGGGAGAGCUUAUUUCCCAGUCAAGAGACUGGCAAAUGGUUAUUUACGGAAGUGAGUAUCUCAAGUUUAAGGGCAGAGUAAAUGUACUAAGAGCAUCGCUGGUUUAGAUAAUUUUUCCAGUUCAGCUAUUGUGACGCUAAAUUGGAAAUUCACCUUGAAUUUUCAUUUUCGUAAAUAAGCCAUUUAGUAUAUUCUAGAGAAAAUGGCAGGGCAUGCAAAGGCUGCAGUUCCUUUGAGCUCUCUUAAGAUUCACCCCAAUAAAUACUUGCAUGAAAAAAAUGUAUAAUUGGAUUCAUUGGGAGUAUAUCUACUAAACAGUGAUUUCCACUUUUUGGCCCAUUUGGGCAGAGGAGUGUUCUAUUAACAGUUUAAAAAAAUAUCUAGAAAUUUUAACAAAUUAUGAAAACAGGACUUUAUUGGCAUAAUUUACAGAUAACUAGUUAAGAUCAAAUGUUUUUCAUUUAGUGUAAUUUCUCAGUUCUAUUGAUGCUGUGGCAUUUGCCCGACGUGAUUCAUCUGUUAAAAUUCCACAGAGGAAGUUGGCUUCUAGUGUGUCAUAUUGCUUUGUUUAAUGCCAUAUCCUCGUGAAAUCAGAGCGGAGGAAAUAAGACUUUCAAUGAAGUGUUACAAGGAUUAGGAAACCUACAUGACAUUCGCAAUCAUUUUGUAAAACAUGAUGAUACAUAAAAAAACAGCCUUGAGGGCUCUCGUCAUGGAACUUUGCUAUUUCAAAGUGAAAGCGUCAUGCACAAAUCAUGAGGAGUUCACUGAUUUGGCUUUAUCCUUAGUCUGUACCUGGUGCUAUCCAACAUUUCCUGCAAAUACAUAGAUUAAGAGACUCUCAGCCAGAGAUUGCUCCCCACUAUUACAAGAUCCCUUUGGUUUGACUAACACAAUAUCUAUAGAUUACAGUUUAUUCUUUGCAGGGUGCCUUUCUGCUUGCUGAAGUGCUUUAUGUGCAUGGAGAGUCCUAUUUUAAAUGCCAAAUUCCAUGAGAAUUCAGCAGUUUUAUAAAUGCAUUAUGAAACACCUCCCUGGCUGUCAAUCAAGCAGGCAGUGUAUUUACUUCCUCCUUCUGUUAGUUUUUUGUGCUCUACAUCAGCACACCUGCCUUCUCCUUCAUUGUUCCUCCGCAGACCUCAGACUAGUGUACUUCACGACUGUGGGUACAGAGCACGCGAGCAGACGCGAUGGCACAGAUACAGAGGCUCUGCAAUGAGAACUGAAAGUUUGUUACGGGAAAAAAGGGGAGGAAUUGCAAAGGAGCAAGUCAUAAGAAAUGCAGCAUUUGCAAGCUCUUUUUAGAUGCAUGCAUGUAUUCAUUGGGUUUAAUAAACAGCGAUUUUUAGAUUUGUUCCUUUAAAUCAUAAUUGGCAUGCUGAGUAGCCUUGUAGUUGGCGUAGAGCCUCUUUUCUGUAAAUAGUGUCCUUCCUUGCAAUACAGCUGCAGCAUAAUAUGCAUUAUUCACCAAUCAAAUUAGUAUUUGAUGGAAUCUACAGACACUUCUCCUGCUAUAAGUAUUCAACAUAUAUAUACUGUAUAUAAAGUAUAAAAUAAAGGAGACAACUGUUUCAACAAAUACCAUGGAAAUGUAUAUAUGUGUGUGGUUAUUAUUAUUAUUAUUAUUAUGAUAUUUAUGUAGCGCCAUCAAAUUCCGCAGCACUUUACAAUGGGUGGACGAACAGACAUGUAGUUGUAACCAGACAAGUUGGACGCACAGGAACAGUGGGGUUGAGGGCCCUGCUCAAUGAGCUUACAUGCUAGAGGGAGUGGGGUAUAGUGACACAGUAACAGAGGGAUUGAGGGCCUGCUCAAUGAGCGUACAUGCUAGAGGGAGUGGGGUAAAGGAUAGUAUUAGACUAAUGACAGUUGCAGAAGAGGAAUCAUUCAGGAGCUAUUAACAGUUAAUUGAUCCGCUUUUAUGAAGAAAUGUUUUUUUAACGAUUUUUUGAAGGAGUGGAAACUGGGUGAGCAUCUAACGGAGGAGGGAAGCGAGUUCCACGGGAACGGUGCAACCCUCGAGAAAUCAUGAAGACGAGCAUCAGAGGUGGGAGUACGGACAGAAGAUAGACGUAUCUAAGUGAACCAUCAUUCCCAGAUCAUUACAUUACUACCAUUAAAAUGAGAAAGAAUGUCAUCAAUAUCCGUGGACAUUCAUGAAAAGUAACAACAUUCAAAUCCUUCUCUAGCUGGUUAAAAAUGCUACAUUGUUGUUUAUACAAUAUAUAUUUGACUCAUGCAAUUUAUAUGCUGCAUCUUGUUUACCUUAGCUACACCUGAGCUGCAUAUCAUCCAUUAAUAAGCCAAUAUAAAGAGGAAGUUAUCAUUGUAAAUGCAAUAAUUUGGCCGUACGCAUGUGUCUCUUUUGGUGUAGAAAAUUCUUAGGUCAACUGCACAGUGUCUGGAAUAAGAAAUUGCAUUUUGCUGGGGCUGGGAGAUGGUAUAAAGGGGUUAUGAGACCCAUCAACUUGUAGAGAAACAUUUAUUUUGUAACACAGGAUAAAGAACAACUACUAUGACAUUAAAUUGAGAGGUCUAGUGUUUUUAGAAUUCCUUUAAGAACUACAUUCACGUUUUGAUUCACCAUCUUUUUCCAAACACUUUAUACAAUCUGGUCUGCAAUUUUCUUUUCAAAUAUUUUUAUUGAACUUUUAACUGUAAAAACAACAUCAAGGGGAAGGGUUACAGGAAAAAAAGGGGUGAGGGGGAAAGGUUUUUCCAUCCACAAUAGCUUAAAUAUAUGUGAAAAAAAGAACAUAUAUUCAAAAAAUAAAUAUAUAUAUAAAUAAAACACGAUCAUAAAAAUACUAUAGGACAUUAUUAAACAAAGAAAUUGCCUAAGAAUUGUAGACAAUUUAAUUUAAGAUUGGUCUCUCAGAUAUAAAUAACCUCAUAUUUUAGACUCUAACCUCCAUACUGUCACAGACUUACCUGUACCUGGUGCCCACGCCGCUCUCCUCCUCGGCUGCAGGGGCAAAACACAUCGCGUGGCCACUCUGCUCCUGUUGUCAGACCGCGUGGUCUGAAUAGGAAUAAUAGACUUACCUUCGGUCCAACGAACGGCUCCCUCUGCUGCAAAAACUAAAAAAUAAAAGAGAGUGCAAGAUAAACCGUAUUGAUCAAAGAAACUAUGACAAUAAUAGCAGCUAAAAAACACGUAAAGAACCUUUCCCAAGUUUUGCAUACAUGCAAUUUGCUAAACUAAAGUGUCAGCGCUUAGCUGAUAUACCCUUAGAGAAAUGCUUUCUAGGGUACCACAAAUAAAUCAAAUCAAAGUUACUAUAGAAAGUAUAGUUAGAGGGUAUCAGCUUGAAGGAAAAAGUUAUCAUGCUGUAUGGGGAGUCCAAGUGCUUAUGAACUGUAUCCACUUCUGAGUUGUUUCAAAGUUAUGAUGUAGCCACCUUAAAAAUCACAGAGAAGUAGCAACAUAGUGUAAUACAGUACAUCUACUAACCCCUUAAGGACCUAACUUCUGGAAUAAAAGGGAAUCAUGACAUGUCACACGUGUCAUGUGUCCUUAAGGGGUUAAAGACCCUCCCCUCCCCCCCCAAUUUCACUUACAGAAUAUCGAUGUGGUGCUUGUUUCUAAGUCCCACUGUUUAAGCACAGGGUACAUUUUAACCAGCAAUACAGUCAGGGGGUUGCCAGUCCGUCAUCAGGGAGAUACCAACAGCUCUGUGCACUUGAGCCGGGAUGCAGUACUCCUGUUGUGGAAAAACGUCAACUCCUCUUCAAGAGAACUGGUAAUCCCGAUUUGGGAGAAGGUAUAAAGACACUGAAGUUUGGCCUACGUAAGAGGGGCGAAAUGCGUUAAUUGCCUGUGGAGUUAUUUUUAACAGCAGUGGAUUCACACAUGUGGUACUGCUUUCCAGCGGACAGAGGAGUUUGUCUUUCCACUACAGGAGUACUGCAUCCUGGCUCGAGUGCCCAGAGCUGUCGGUAUCUCCCUGAUGAUGGACUGGUAACCCUCUGACUGUAUUGCUGGUUAAAGUGUACCCUGUGCUUUUACAGCGGGACUUUGGAACAAGCACCACAUCGAUAUCAUCUUGCUGUAUCUCUGUGAUUUUUAAGGUGGAUACAUCAUAACAUUGAAGCAACUCAGAAGUGGAUACAGUUCAUAAGCACUUGGACUCCCCAAACAGCGUGAUAACCUUUUCCUUCAGGCUCUCUCUGCUGGUUCGCAGGCCGAACUGCAGGCCCCUACAAAGAAGUUAGGACUCUGCCCAUUCUAAGGGCAUUUCCUUAAAAAAAAAUGGAAAAUCAUGAUGUCACACCCUUAAUGGGACCACGUCAUCUAGGCGACCCCAUGCUGUUUUAUAGUCACAGAGAUGACGUGGACCAAUUAGAACACAUAUGAAACCCUUUAAAGCCUGUACAUGCCCUUACUCAUCUCCCUAUCAUGGUUUUUGUUUAGUAACACGUUUAGUGCUCCUGCGACGCUCUUGUGAUUUUCUGUUAUUGACGUUGGUUUCGUUUUGACUCUGUUAAGCUCUGGCAUCCUGACCCGGCUUGUAUAUUGACCUGUGUAUUUCUGGUAUCCUGACCCGGCUUGUAUAUUGACCUGUGUAUUUCUGGUAUCCUGACCCGGCUUGUAUAUUGACUUGUGUUUUUCUGGUAUCCUGACCCGGCUUGUAUAUUGACCUGUGUAUUUCUGGUAUCCUGACCCGGCUUGUAUAUUGACUUGUGUAUUUCUGGUAUCCUGACCCGGCUUGUAUAUUGACCUGUGUAUUUCUGGUAUCCUGACCUGGCUUGUAAUUUGACCUGUGUAUUUCUGGUAUCCUGACCUGACUCGUAUAUUGACCUGUGUAUUUCUGGUAUCCUGACCUGGCUUGUAUAUUGACCUGUGUAUUUCUAGAGUCCUGACCUUAUUUGGACAGGCUUGUUUUUCAUGUAUCCGUAUCUCUGUAUUCCUGACCUCGACUAUUCCUGACGUUGAUUCUUUCUUGUAAUAGGCUAAAUCCGGCCACUCUAAGGCCCAUUAAUGCGUCUUUUGGACCCUCACUUCGUGGGUAUGCUUUUUCCUACAUGCAAGUGUAACGACAACCAUGACACAUACGCAACUAUCUCCCCCUGUGUGAAGCACCUAGUCUUCUCACAUAAAAAUAUAAAAUGUAAAAUUCCUUUUAUAUGUAUACAAAAAAGAGUGUUUCCUUAAAUAAACAGAAAAAAGGGCACCUAAAAUAAGAGACUUGAACACAAUAUUUUUUAACAUUUGUUGAAAAAUGAAUCUGAGCUAACUGUUCCCAAAACGAACUCUUGAAGUGUAUCAGAUUUACAAUUUAUUCUUAAGAACACUAUAAUGAAACACAGUUAGUAUUAAUUUAGUGCUCGUCAAUUACAUUGUGAAUCUAUUUCAAUCUCCAUAUGAUAGAAUUAUUAUUUUUAUUUCAUACCUUCUCAGUAAACAACAUGAUUUGUACUUAUAUACCUUACUCUCUUAGAAUCAGAAUGAAUGAAUCAUGCAAAUUACAAUACCUUGAAUGAGCUGACGAUUGUGCUAUUUAAUAUGUUCUUUAUAGCUGUAUAAUAACAUUUCUAAUAUAGAAGUGCAAACUCAAAUUAUGGAGAGUUGCAGACACGGCGAGUCAUCAGGCUAAAGCCUAGUCUGUGGAUCCAUAGUUAACAGGACAGCAAUGCAUCGUAAAUCAAUCUGUCAGAGUAGUUUUGGUGUCUAGAAGUGAUCUAAUUUGCAAAAUUAAGGCAAAAACACAAUUUAUUGGAACUCUAAUAACUAGUGAUGCUCGUCCAAGGGGCAGCACCUCACUAAUAACAAACAAAUAAUAAGAAUAAAAUUAUACAUUUAUUUUUUCUGUUGGAGUUUUUAUAUUUUUCUGUGCAAAUCUACAUCUUUGAGAUGUGUCUGUCAGUUUAAUUAAUAUGAAAAGUUGUAUGAAUCACCCUCAUUGGCUGUUGAAGAGCCCUCUGUUCUUCUCAAUGUAUCCUGUUCAGACCGCAAUUAUGCUGUCCUCAAAGACAGGCCUACCUACUGGGAUUUCAUAUUGACUACACGCUUGUUGCAUUGUCUAAUCCUGGUGCUUCCAUUGCACAGUGUGAAAAGUGAAGCGAUAUUGUCUGACAGCUCUCCCCCAGCUCCAUGCAUUGAGUGUACCAUUCCUCCUAAUGUCAGCAGUCCCAGAAUCGGGACGCCGGUGGGAGGGGAGUAGAGGGUGCGAGCCAGUGAUACAAUUAUGUCACUGGCUCUGCCCAAAAGAUGGAGGACAUAGAAAGGGGGCUUGUCCUCCCACAUUACUGGCAGGUCAGCCUGGUGUGGAACAAAAUGCAAUAAACAAAACAGGUUGCACCUAAUAAUGAUAAUGCUGUAUUAAGUGUAAACGAGUCCAAGGGACACAGUCCAAGGUUUUAAGAAUUCACUGACUUUGCUUCCUUUAGCAUUUAAUUCUUUAUCCAUGGGUACAUGUAAAAGAGAAAAAAACAAAAAAGAGUCAAUGGUGCAGUAUUUCUCUGUAAGUGAACUCACACAACAUUCAAGUACAAAUUCCCACUCACAACAGGGUGUUGUGGUUGGGCUGCCACCAGAAAUUUUGGGGACCCUGACAAAGCACAGGGUCUGGGCCCCGACCCCCGGCCCACCCACAAGUCCGCCCACAGGACUCCUACCUAGUCCACUGACAAUGUUGUAGGACUGAAUGUGUUGUGUAUAGUGGAAGUGAAUUAGAAUGUGUGUAAUGGAUGUAGUGUUUGUGUGUAUUAGAUACUGUUUGUGCAGUGAAUGCAGAGUGUGUGUUUGUGUAGCAGAUGCAAUGUGUAUACUGAACGCAGAGUGUGUUUGAGUAGUGGAUGUAGUGUGUGUACAGUGAUGUAGUGUGUGUUUGUGCAGUAGAUGUAGUGUUUGUGUGUACUAGAUGCAAUGUGUUUAGUGGAUGCAGUGUCUGUAGUGUGUCUAUUAGACGCAGUAUCUCUGUAUAGUGAAUGCAACGUAUUUGAAUGUGUGGUGGAUGUAGUGUGUGUACUGUGAAUACAGGAUGUUUGUGUAGUGGAUGCUGUGUGUAUAGUUAAUGCAGAGUGUAUGUUAUUGUAGUGAGCGCAGAGUGUGUGUUAGUGUAGUGAAUGCAGAGUGUGUGUUAGUGUAGUGAAUGCAGAGUGUGUGUUAGUGUAGUGGAUGCAGAGUGUGUGUUAGUGUAGUGAAUGCAGAGAGUGUGUUAGUGUAGUGAAUGCGGAGUGUGUGUUAGUGUAGUGAAUGCAGAGUGUGUGUUAGUGUAGUGAAUGCAGAGUGCGUGCUAGUGUAGUGGAUGCAGAGUGUAUGUUAGUGUAGUGAAUGCAGAGUGUGUGUGUUUACUAGUGUAUGCUUUUUCCCCUCCCCCCACAUUAAAUGUAAUAUCUGUUAUUCCCCCCUCCCUGUUUCUUACCUGGUUCAGGGAGGGGGGAGAUUCCAUGAUUCCUGGUGGUCCGGUGGCAUUGUGGGGCCCCCCGGCUCCCUGUAUUUUCAGGGGGGACUGCAUCUGUAUGUUACAGCUCUUCCCUCUCUCUAACUCCCGCGUGGCGUGUGUGCCGCGCGGAGCGUUGCCAUGGUAGCCCGUGGCAACACUCUGACGGCCGCGGGUCUCGCGGGAGUUAGAGAGAGGGAAGAGCUGUAAUGUACUGUGCAGUCUGCUGGCCCCCCUGCAAAUACAGGGAGCCAAGAGGCCCGUGGCUGCACAUAUAUCUGCACAUAUAUAUAGCGAUCAUCAUAUAAAUAUGUGCAGAGAGGGAAUGUGGGGCCCAGGACUGCCGGGCCUGUGUCAACCGUCAUGGUUGUCACCCCCUGAUGACGGCCCUGUGUUGUGGUAUAAACCCCACCCAUGGAUAAGGGUGCCAUUUUUUUGUGAUGGGUGAAAUAAAUGAAAACAAUAUUGUUAUCACUGAAAUAAACAAUUGAACAGAAAAUAUAGUAUUGUACUCAUUUUUCAUAGAGCAGUCCAGCUGCUCCGUACUUCCGGUGUAGGUGGGAUAAUCCCCACCAAGGAUAGAUGUCUAGAUUCCAUUGGGUAAUGCUUCACCAGGAAGCCGGGAAUGGAGGUAAAAAUAGUAAAAAAAAAAAAAAAAAAAUACAAUAGAUACCAAAACAAUUUUAGUCUAAUGAAGCAGCUCUGAUAUAUCAUGCCCCUCACAGUACAGUUCCCUAUCAUUUAGGCAUUAAAUCACUUUUUUAAAGCACAGCCUUCCUAGGCAUUUCCUGUAAAGAGAGAUCUAAUGUUUAAACUUCCUUACUUUCACAGUGUGUUUAAUUUAGAAUUUCUUAUCUCCUGCUCUGUUAAUAGCCUCCUACGCCCUGCAGGAGCCUCCUCCUACGCCCUGCAGGAGCCUAAAGUCUAAUUUGCAGAGCAGGAGAUCGAAACUUCCAAAGUUAGUAAGAUCUGACCAUUUUUUUUGGCUAAAUCUGCAUAAACAGAAACAAAAGUCUUGUUAAUGGCAGAGAAUUGAGCAGUGAGACUGCAGGGGCAUGAUCUGUACACUAAAACAGCUUCAUUAAGUGACUAAUAUUAUAAAUUGAUUUCUGGCAUAUUUGACACGGUCUGUUUGACUAUACUAUUCUCCGGUAUCCUGAUUUGGCUCAUUAUUCAUUUGUGUGAUUUCUGGUUUUCUGACCCAGCGAGACUUGCAACUAUGUUAUUGCUUUCUGUCACUGUGUCAUUCUAUCUCCUCAGAAGUAUUCCAUCAGGCCUUGCCAGUGUUAGCUCUGCUAAUAUGUCUAUUUCUGUCUCUUUAUACUUCUCUGUCUCUCCUUCGCUAGUUUUGACCUAUGUUUGCGUGUUGUGUUGCACUGCAUCCUAACACGUCAUAAUUGAUCAACCGUUUGACAGCCACCAUGGAGGAAACAGAAUUAAAAUAGAAUGCAGAACACUGUUUCUUCUACAUUGGUCGUACAUGUGAUCAAUUUAACCGAAAUUAUCGGAUUUGAAAGCUCAUUUACAGUUCAUUGAUAAAUGAGUCAAACAUUUUUAUUCAUUCGGAAUUCCUUCCUGUCAUUGCUAACAGUUUAUUGAAUUAAUACUUUUACGUUUUCAAACUACAUUAAAUGUGUUUAGUCCUUUAAGACAGUUGUAGAACAAGGAUCAUGUUACCAUAGCAACGGUGGCAAAUUGUGCAUACCAGAUUAUUUGGAAGCUGACAUUCUUAUCUCUAGUACAAAUUAUUUGUUUCUUCUUUGUUCUUCUAAGGAUCCCCACAGAGAACGCAAACUCUGAGAUAUGUUCCCAUGCGAUCCGAUUUGUGUGAUCACCUUCUUCAAAUCAAUUCAUUCUACCUUUAGAGGUUCUGACUUGUUUAAAGGGAUUUAUAGCUUUAUAUUAUUUGUAGUAUAAUUUAAGCUUUGAAGAUAUGAGGGGGGAAAUGUCGGGAACCUUAACUAAAUGCAUAUUAGUUCUCGGAAGGUUUGCAAAAAUCACUAAGCUGACUAACUCUGCAAACACUUACUAUAAUUUAUUUGUUGGAAUAGGAGAUAGGAAUUAUGGUGUAAAUUAAAAAUAUUAAAGGGAAAUUACAUAAUUUGUAUUUAUCUUUAUAAGAAAUAGUUUUUUUUAAUUUAAAUUUUACUUAUCAAUAUAUCUGAUUUAUAUACUGGUUAUUUCACAGUGCUAUUAUGUUCGUUUUUUAAAUAGUUUUUUAAUGACGCAGUGAGAGAAUUAUGUUUUCCCUUCACAGAAAAGUGGAAAGACAAACCCCGAAAAGACAAGAAAUCUGUGGCGAAACCAGCCUUGCCACUGUCCACUGGAGGAGCCUGGUUGCUCGCCUGCUCCCUUUAGACUAUGGCCCACAGGGCCGUCUUUAAUAUUGAUUGGACCCUGGGCAAAACAUUUGCUUGGGCCCCCUGGACCAUGUACUCCCUCCCCAGGCGUGCAAACACGUUAUCACCCUUAACGCAGUGGCUACCUAAAGUAGAGAGGUGCAAGAAUAUUUUUUUUGGGCCUCCUUAUUGCAAGGAUGUUUAAAAGGUAGAUCCCCAUCUGUUGUGCAACUCCAGCAAUGCCUUGACAGCUGGGGCUCUACCAUUUAUCCAUAUUUGCAGGUUUGUAUUUAGCACUAAGCUGUUUUUGUGUGUUUCAAUGUAAACAGGUUUUUGUAUGGAAUAUGUUUGUAUGUGGCAUUGGCAUUUGAAUGUAAGCAUGUAUUUAUGUGUAGUGUUGGUUUUUGAAUGCAGGGGUGUGUAUACAUAUAAUGUUGGUGUUUAACACAGACGUGUAUUUGUAUGUUGUGCUGAAGCUUGAAUGCAGGGGUGUAUUUGUGUGUAGUGUUAGCGUGUGAAUGUUGAGAUGUAUGCACAUAUACACACACAAACACACAGGUAGAUAUGCACACAACCCGACACACAAAUACACACCCUGACACACAUACUAAUAACAUAACAUACAGAUACACUGAAACACACAAAGACAACGUACAGAUACACACUGACACACAUACAGACACACCGAUACACAUCCUGACAUACACAAAGAUACAAACACUGACACACAUGCAGUUACACAGACACACAUAUACACACCUGACACACUUGCAGAUACACACACACACACAGACUUCAUACAGAUACACACACAUAUAUACACACUGACAAACACACAGAUACAAAAAAUGACAACAUAUAGAUACACACACAGAUAUACAGACAAACUGACACACAAACAUACACUGAUAGACAUACUUACACAGACACAUAAACCGACAGACAUACUGACACAUAGACAGACAGAUAUAUACUGAGACACACACAGACAUACUGACACACUGACAGACAUGCUGACACAUUCACCAACACACACACCGACAUACAGACACAAAGAGUCAAACUGAUACAGACAUGCACACACCGACAUACAGACAUGCACACACUGACAUACAUAUGGACACACAGAGACACAUACACUAACAGACAUGCUGACACACACACACAUAUACUGACAGACAUAUUGACACACAUUCACAGACACACACACAGACAUACUGACACACACACGCACUGACAGACAUACUGACACAUACACUGACAGACAUACUGACACAUACACUGACAGACAUACUAACACACACACGCACUGACAGACAUACUGACACACACACGCACUGACAGACAUACUGACACAUACACACAUACUGACACACACACGCACUGACAGACAUACUGACACACGCACUGACAGACAUACUGACACACACACUGACAGACAUACUGACACAUUCACAGAUACACAUGCAAAAUUUACACUAUUAAACCCACCCUUUCUACGUUGGAGGGUGACUUUCCUACCAGUGGCUGAAGCUGCUGGGAGUUGGGGUCUGGCUAGCUCGGCGCAGACCCCCACCGCUCUUCCUCUUCCUCCUCCCGCGCGCUCCUCUCUCUAUGGGAGGAAGUGACGUGCAGCCGUCACUUCCUCCUAGCCGGCUGCCGAAAAGCAAGAGGGCCUGGUCGCGCUCUUAAAGCGCCAGAGCGCAAGACCGGGCCCCUGCUGACAGAAGCCCACCGGCUGCGUGGCUGCACCGGCAGUUGGGAAAAAUGCUUGAGGUCAGCGGGGCCCACGGUGCAGCUGCUUCGGGCCCCCAAGAGUAACUGGGCCCGGGGCAGCUGCCCCGUUUGCCCCGCGGUAAAGACGGCCCUGAUGGCCCAGCAGUUAAAACCUUUUAUUUUCCCUGCAGAAAAGCGUAUUCGUGCCUUUCUGCAGACUGUUAAAGCCAUGCUACCCCAGAUAUCCAUGGCGAUUGAACUGUAUGUACGUAAUCUGAGCGCCAUCCGGUAAUAAUGUGCGCUCAGAUCUAAGCUAUCUGGGGAUAGGUAGAAUGUGUAUGUUCUAUGUUAUAAAUGUAACCUGGUGUAUUUUAUUGUAUUUUACUGUCUUUUUACUGCCAUGUGCUUAAUGGAGUUUUCCCUCUGUCCUUGGAGAUAAUUGGAUUACUUCCCAAUUAUCUCCAGGAUAGAAGACUCUGUGGAACUGGUUUUGAGCAGAAAAGCCAUGCUUCAUUUGGUCACAAAGGACUUCGAUCUAUCUUUUGAACCAAUGGACCAAUUUGGAUGAUUUUGACAUAUGUUUGUAUUUGGAGUUUGCUGAUUCUGAAAAUGUCAUUUUUGGAGAUUUGAUGUGUGGUUUUAAAGUUACAGGAUAUGUGUAAAACUGUAUUUUUACUGCCUGUGUUAAUUAUGAGAAACCAUUGUGUAACAUAAUUAGAUCACAGGCAGAGGGGAGGAUUUUUGUAUGUAAUUGCAGGGAGUGUUUCUGUAAUGUACGUGUAUGAUUGGUUGUUUUGUAAAACCCUGUGGGUGGUCCUAUCUAAGGGAAACCUGCAUAAAAGAAGGUUCUUUUGGUGCCAGUAAAUAUAUUCUGCUUAACCCUCAAACGAAGUGUCGUCUCGUUAUUGGGGGAAUUGGAUGGUAUGCUGACUGCCAGGAGUGUAAACCUUGCAUAAGGUUUUUCCUGUUCAGCUGUUUCCAGUAUUCGUGUGUCUCCAGUUCGGGAGAUUGGUGAUUGCAGUAGCUGUCUGUGCAUCUGAAAGGGGAAUAUCGCCUAAACGGUUUUUAACCUCUUGUGGGCAAAACGGUCCGUUACUAGCCAAGAUGGCCGGACGUGCACUCUACUGGAGGCACUCACCGCUCCCCUGCUACAGAAUCUCCAAGUGGCCUAAACACCACAUGGCAGACCCAACAUGGUCGCUGUACCUCAACAUGCUCCCUUACUGGAGAGCAUGUCACUUCAGACUUGGAGGGAAAACUUUGACACACGCUUUGAACAGCUAUGUCAAGAAUUCGGGAGGCGAAUCGGGAACCCACGUGGAGGCACUACUUACUGAUCGCCGAUCUCACGAUGUGCGCUCCGCACUCCGAAGAUCUCACGGGUCCGCAAACCUACCGCACGCCGCAGGAAGAUCCCUGGAGAUGCUGAUAAAGCUCCCAUUAAAGCAUGGCAUUCAGGAGCUUCAGAGCCCGGGCACAGCACACUACUGCAGACAAGCAAGCAGGAAGCCUGGCUGAAGGGAGAGCACAACAUGGAGGCACAUACCGAUACUAGUCCAAGCAGGGCUACAGACUAUCUAGCCUGGCCUACACGUGGUUUGGGGUAGACCUGAGACAUAGUCCUCCUGUUAAUCACCAGCCACUCCCGUUAAUGCAGGGGCAUAUUGCCUCUCCAUAUUGCUUUCACCUCUCUGCCUUUUCUUUUAUGCUCUUCUCUUUUCUCUUUAGUUUAACUACCUGACUGGCGAGGUGAACCCCAGUGGCACUCAAGCUAACUAGCUAUCGCCGGCUGAGUUUACAGCUGCUUAGUGUAACUUAAUACAGAGCUAGCUCAUCAUAGAAAUUAGUUCUUGAACACAAUAUCUCAGUAACAUAAGCAUGUUUCACAACCUACCUUAAUACUUUUAUUACCAUGUCUAUGACUUUGCAUAGCUUAGUAUCUUUCUUAAUAGUUAAUCUAGGCAUGUUAUGUGUAGCCUGUACUUUACAUUGCAUAUAAAAAAUUGUGCAGUGUAUCCAAAUGCCCUGUAACUAUUAUGCUUUGUCGUUAACUGUCUUGCAAAUGCUGCUGGGCAUUGUACAACUGUCUGUUAAUCAUAUGCACACAAAGAUAAAGAAUUAUAAAAAAAAACAAAUAAAAAAAACGGUCCGUUACAAAACAUAACUUCACAUCGACACACAAACACGGAUGAGUUAAAGGGGAACUGUUACUUCACCGAUUUUUUAGUAUUAAGAUUACUUGUCUGUUGUAUUUAUCAAAUGUGCAUUUGUGAGUUGGAAUAAAUAAAAUAAAAUGUAUGAAUCCAUUGUCUUUAUCCUGUAACUGGGUGCCUCCAUUUAGCUCCCUGUCAGCCAUUGUUUUAAGCUCUGUCCUUUGCACCUGGCAGUCAGCAUAUAGAAAGUAUACAGGGAAGAGAACAUUUGAAAAUUGUUUCAAUCAAGGUUAUCAAAGUAAGACUUCAAGGUAAAUUCAAGUGAAUUUUAAAGUGCAGGUCAAAGUAGCCGAACUGGAGAAAUUCUGUAAGCCCACUAUUGUUUAAGUUUAACUACUCUGCCCUUAAAUUUGAAAUUCACUUUGAAUUCUUACUUAAGUUAAUAAUGCUGCUAAUCUAGUCAUUCGCAAUGUGACCCAGUCAAAUUCUUAAUAUAAAUUUAAUGGAAAACAGAGCACCUCAUGAAUAAAAGGUUAACACAAGUUAUAUGUGAUUUUCAAAUUUAUAUUCAGCUGUAUGAAUUCUAGAACUAAUGAACUGGGUAGUAACAAUAUAGCAAAAGCCAAAACCUGGUUAGAAAAUCUUUUUUAGUGGAGCUGGGACUUUAAAUCACAAUGCACAAUAGAAUUAUGUAUUAAUAAUCCUGCAGCAAUCAGACACUGCAUUACAAAAAAAGAUCCUCUAUGGCGGUUUAUUUGUGACAUAUUUGUAAAAUAAACUACAGUAGCAUGCGAUAACAUGUGUAAACAAGAACCACUGCCAGUUAAACAUAUGUAACGUCUUUAUCAAAAUUAAAUGUCCUUUUAAAUGCAAUUCAUUUUUUCCUUUCAUCCCUCCCUCCGAACAUAGUGUUUGUCUUUUUUUCUGCAAGCAUAUUGCUGUUUACAAUGUGAAGACUUGGUUGUCUGGCAGUUGUACUUCAUCUGUUAGCUUAAAGGGACUCUUCCUGUAAAGAGUCAUCUAAUGUUUACACUUGCUUUAUUGCAAAUUCUGUUAGAUUUCGAAUUUAUCUCCUGCUGUGUUACUAGCUUGCUAGACCCUACAGGAGCCUCCUGUAUGUAAUUAAAGCUCAGUUUACAGAGCAGGAGAUAACAACUUUUAAAGUAAGCGACAUCCUAUUGAAAUUGAAACUAUUUUGUUUUUAUGCAGGCUGUGUCAGUCACAGCUAGGGCUGCUGUAAAUGGAAACAAAAGUGGGUUAACUCCUAAAUGGCAGAGAAUUGAGCAGUGAAAAUUCACUGCAAAAUUCACAUACAUUAAAACUGCUUCAUUAAGCUAAAGUUGUUUUGGUGACUAUAGUUUCCCUUUAAUAUAAUGGAACUACAAUUCCCAGAAACCUUUGCUGUAUCCAUAAGUAUGAUUAGCUGAGUGACUUGUAUAAUUAAAACCCCCAGCAGAGGCUGGGCAGCUUUGAGUUUUACUACAAAUGCUGGAAUUUCAAAUGUAGUUAUAUUUUUAUCAAAGGGACACUAUAGUCACCAAAACAACUUAAUUAGUGGUUUUGAUGUACAGAUCAUGCCCCGGCAGUCUUGCUGCUGAAUUCUCUGCUAUUUAGGAGUUAAAUCUUCUUAUAUGUGACUUGCACAGACGUCCUAAACACUAAAGAGAGACGUAAUGUUUAGACUUCCUUUAUUGCAAAUUAUGUUUAAUUUAGAAUUUCUUGUCUCCUGUCCUGUUAAUAGCUUGCUAGACCCUGCAGGAGCCUCCUGUGUGUGAUUAAAGGUCAAUUUACAGAGCUGCAGGAGAUAAAAACUUACAGACACUCCUCACUUACUGACCAGGUUCUGUUCCUAUAACGAAUUGGUCGGUAAGUGAGGAGUUAAGGGAUUCCCUGAUCUGGUGUGUUCGUCUAUGUUCAAGGAAACUUCCCCGAACAUAGACGAACACACCAGAGCAGGGACCCAUCUAAUCUAUGUUUGAGGAAAUUUCUCUGAACAUAGAUUUGAGGGAUCCCCUGACCUGUGCGCUUUUCUAUGUUUGGGGAAGCAUCCCCGAACAUAGACGAACGCACCAGAGCAGGGAAUUCCUCUAAUCUAUGCCCAUGGAAAUUUCUCUGAAUAUAGAUUAGAGGGAUUCCCUGCUCUCGUGUGUUUGUCUAUGUUCAGGGAAGUUUCCCCAAACAUAGACCAUGCGCACCAGAGCAGGGAAUCCCCACGACGGCUUGCACUUACGCCAUUUUUUCAUGCAGGCUGUGUCAGUCAAAGCUAGGACUGUAUAAACAGAAACACAAGUGAUUUCACUUCUAAAUGACAAAUAAUUGAGCAGUGAGACUGCAGAUGUAUGAUCUAUUCACACAAAAAAACGCUUCACUAAGCUAAAGUUGCUUUGGUGACUAUAGUGUCCCUUUAAUUUUAUAUUAUUGUUUUUGCAUUUUUUUUAAAUUCAAAAAUAAUCAGCUCCAGCCUGUAGUGUCCUUUCAAACUAACACGAAACCUGGUUUAUUUGCCAUCUGAGUGAUGUGAUGAAUAUGCUUUUGGAUCAAGAACAGUUUCAGGGAUUUAUGAAAGUUUAAACUUGAUGUAUUUAUACUGUUAAAUUAAAUAUAGAAAUUUGUAAAAUUGUCAAGUCAAUUUACUGAAUUUAGAGCUCAAUUAAGCUUUAACCAAAACAUAACAAUCAACAUUCCAAUUUCUGUUUCUUACACAGGGUGUCAACUUUAAUAUGAAUUGCACUGUUUUCAAUUAUUAUUAUUAUUAUUUUAGUAAUAAAUGUAAUCUAAGCAUUAAUUAAAACUGAAAUGCAGAAUACAGGUUGUGUCAUUUUCUCCUUCUGUGUAAAGAUACUUGCAUAAUUAGAACCCAUCAAACACUAGUCACAUUCUUUGCCCUAAUGACUGUCACUGACCUGGUAGGCUGAUUAGGAGCUGGAACACAAUAAAAGUGACAUCAUAUCCUUGCAAGCACGACCUCUAGGUGAACCUAGGUGAAGUGAGGAGAGGGUCCUAGGAAAUCUAUGGUGGCACAUGGUCUUUAGUCCAAGCAAGGUGUUUAAGCAGAAUAGGAAAAAAGGAAGUCAGUCAGUACAUCCAAGGUCAGGGCAGGCAGCAAAGGUUUAUGAAUGGGUAAACAUAGCCAAGUUCAAUGUAGACGGGAGACCCAUUGGCACUGGCAGCAGGGAAAGACCAGAAGGCAGGUAUGUAGGGUAAGAACAGUGCCUGGGUUAAGCCAGGCAAAGGAGCAGCACUCCAGGUAACAAUAAACAAGCACUGUACUCUGUGCUCAUAUAUUUUAAAGAGGUUCCCUGUUCACAAUAAGGGCCUCCUCCUGAUUCUAUAAAUGAUGUAAGGUAUAAGAGUUUCAUUUUAGCAUAUAAGAGCAGACACUGAGGCCAGAGCUCCAAACCUGGAAGUAUGGACAACCACAGCAUGGCAUGGAGGAUGCAAUGGGUGAUGCUGGUGGUGAGGAACAGCUGAAGGACUUCCCCCUAGGACCAUGUGACAAUGACACUCAGACUUUAUUACAGUCUACAGGUCAUCAUCAGCUCCAUAAUAUUCUGCUGUCUAUAAACAAGCUGAACAUUUUGAAUAUUAUCAUGGCAUAGACUAUUAUUGAACCAGUUUAACAUCUACCAACCCCCACUACUGCCUCAGGCCGCCCUAGUGUAUGCACGUUACUAGAACACGGAACAACCCGAAGACAUAUUAACUGCUCCCAGGCUCUUGCCUUACAACACAAUAGAAUGGAAGGUUUGCAUCCAUAAUCUUAGCUACUCACCUGCAAGUACAAGGUGGAUCAGGCAACGUUUCACCUCGUACCUUACUACACUUCUGUUAAGUUACACUAGGUUUAAAACUUUAAUUUAUUAAUACAAAAAAAGAGCACACUCAAAGAUGCCAUAACUUUUGUUUGCUUAUAACGACUGAGCCUGGGAAUGCGGUUGUGGCAAUGCUGGGACUGUUGUACUCACCUGCAUAUCAAAAAUAAAAAAAAUAUUAAAAAAAAUCUACCUUAAAUUUGAAAUAAUUUAGAAUUUCUGGCAAUUCUCAGUUUUGUGAAUAAGCCUGCUGGUAUUUUAUGAAUGUCUCCCUAAUUCAGAUUAACAUUAUUUCCCCUAAUAUAUGCUUCAGCAUUAUGUAUUUGAUAUGCUACUUUUUAAGAUAGAGAUUAGGACUAGGCCUACGGUUAGUGUGCAUACAUGUCCCCAUGCUGCUUGACAUUAUUGGCAGAUACAUUCUUGGAAGUGUACCUCGCCCUGAUUGCCCUUGCUCUGUCACUUCAUGUAGAUUAGUAGCCCCUAUGGAUGCAGGUAUUCACAUCUUGCAUUUUUUAAAUACAUUUUUAUGAAAAAAAAAUAAUACAAUAAACAUAGAUAACCUUGCAGGUUAAGCAAUACAAAUUUGAUAGAAAAGAUCAAUUAAAGAAUCUUAUUUAAGGUACAAAGAUCACAUAUUUACAUUCCCCGGGCAUUAUGGUUUUUAAUUUAUGGCGUGAUGUCACCCUCGCAUUUAUAUAACAGAUAGAAAGAGAAUUCCAUUAACUACAAACAUCGCCUGACGGUGGUAAAAAUGGGUGUAAUAGAGGAAAGGAAGUUUAUCUUAGAAGGUAGUUACAAUGUGGUAAUACUAAUGGGAAACUGACAGACACAAAACGAAAGACAGCCAAAAUAUUGUGUGUCAAAAAGGCUGUAUAUACCCGUGUAUAAGUCGAUAAAUUUUAGUCUUAAAUGUCAUUUUAAAAAGCAGAGUCGACUUAUCCAGGGGUCAGUGCUAGUUUCAAUAGAAUUUUGUAUGGCGUUCAGGAGUCAAACAGCGUUCAGGAGUUGAACAGCGUCUGGGAGUCUAAUGCGGGGCAAUGUCGACUCCUGAAUGGCAUUCUCCUAGCUGGUCAGGAAGUCGAACGGGCAGGGGUACAAGUUUCAGCGGGGUUCAGGGGCUUGCGUAACCGACUCAGAGAUCCAUGCCGUUGAUGACUAUGUACCGCUGCCUGCAUUCAGGAGACAACACGUGCGUUUGUAUAUACGAAUGGCAGCCACUCAGGGAAUGCUUGUUUUUGGUUAACAGCCAGGGGUGGUCGGUGAUUACGAGGUGUUAACAAGGGGGAACACACGAGACUGUUCGGUAACUGAACAGAAACCGAACAAUUCCAUUCGAAUAAGAUACCCUCAACUUAUCCACGAUUCAUAGCAUAUUUCACAAUUGUUGGUCAAAAAACUGCAUUUGACUUAUACACGAGAUCGACUUAUAGAUGAGUAUAUACGGUAUGUGCUUACAGCUGCUACCACACUGUAUGUGUAAUUCUAAAUAAAAAAAAUCACACAGCCACGUGAAGAAUCAAUGAACCGUGGAAUGCCAUAUAACCUUUAAAGAGCAAUAAUCAUGUGAUUGGUGUACAAUAAAAUGAAUGGAUAUUACGAUUGAUAGAAUACUGUAAAACCUUAAAGUAUAUUUUUAGAAAUGAAGGUGCUCAUGGAACACUUACAGUAGCGAGAGCUAAUGCACCUAGCUCUGGUGUGUAGAACCUUUUGGUCCGUUUUGGGCACUCCCUCUCCUUUUCUGUGCAACAAUUAUAAUUAAAACCAUGUUACUUCCAGGGGAAAGGAAAUGUGCAAAAUAUUGAAAUUCUACAGAAUAUAUAACUUGUAUAUUGUUAUUAUUAUUAUUAUUAUGACUAUAAUUGUUGAUGGUACUUAUUAUACUCAAAAAGAUAGAGUCUACAGCCUGGCUCAGUAUGAAAGCUUUAUGUGGUUAAGAACCACAUCAUCUUCUUUAAGAAUGCAGGACUCCAGACAGUAGAUAUUUUUAAAAAAACCUUUUACUUCUAUUAAUAGUUACCAACAAUACAAAAUAAUAAAAAGUGCCAUAUAAAAUACCAAUAUCUAUUGUGGAGUCCUUGUUGUAGUUCCAGAAAUGUGUUUCGCCGUCUUUUGGCUUCCAUCAACCGAAAGACUCCCAUAAGAGAAUGGGACCAUUAGACUGAGGUUACACCCUGGAACACAAGGCAGGUGCUUCCCACCCACUUUUUGCAUGACCUUUGUUUAUUUUUCUUUUGUUUAUAUUUAUAAUUUAACAUGAGAUUAAUAAAGUAUGUUGAUGGAGAAAUGUGCAGAUCUGAAUGACAAUUUCCAAAACAUAUUCUGCUACUGCUGUAAAAAAAGCUGAACAUCAGUUAAACUUGUUCAGUCAUUUUCAUGCCAUACAUAUAUCUAUGUUCAUUUGCAAAUGUCCUCUUCUAGCUUGCAGGCUUAGAUUGUUCCAAUGGAUACACAACCAGUGAGGAUCCAAACACCGAGAAUCCCUUGGGUGAAGCCAC